rnacentral:rRNA from 1 species
GACGAACGCUGGCGGCGUGCUUAACACAUGCAAGUCGAGCGGGGACUUGGGGCUUCGGCUCCGGGUUCUAGCGGCGGACGGGUGAGUAACGCGUGAACAAUCUGUCCCAGACAGGGGGAUAACAUUUGGAAACAGGUGCUAAUACCGCAUAAGACCACGAUCUCGCAUGGGAUUGAGGUAAAAGGAGCAAUCCGGUUUGGGGUGAGUUCGCGUCCGAUUAGCUAGUUGGUGAGGUAACGGCCCACCAAGGCGACGAUCGGUAGCCGACCUGAGAGGGUGAUCGGCCACAUUGGAACUGAGACACGGUCCAAACUCCUACGGGAGGCAGCAGUGGGGAAUAUUGGGCAAUGGGCGAAAGCCUGACCCAGCAACGCCGCGUGAGGGAAGAAGGUUCUCGGAUUGUAAACCUCUGUCCUUGGUGACGAAGGAAGUGACGGUAGCCAAGGAGGAAGCCCCGGCUAACUACGUGCCAGCCGCCGCCGUAACAC